CAGUCGCCGGGGAAUACCGAGGGUGCGAGCGUUAAUCGGAUUUACUGGGCGUAAAGCGUGCGUAGGCGGCUUUUUAAGUCGGAUGUGAAAUCCCUGAGCUUAACUUAGGAAUUGCAUUCGAUACUGGGAAGCUAGAGUAAGGUAGAGGAUAGUGGAAUUUCCGGUGUAGCAGUGAAAUGCGUAGAGAUCGGAAGGAACAUCUGUGGCGAAGGCGACUAUCUGGGCCAUUACUGACACUGAGGCACGAAAGCGUGGGGAGCAAACAGGAUUAGAUACCCGCGUAGUCCCUGUCUCUUAUACA
rnacentral:rRNA from 1 species